rnacentral:rRNA from 1 species
UACGUAUGGACCGAGCGUUGUCCGGAAUCAUUGGGCGUAAAGAGCGUGUAGGCGGCUUGUUAAGUCUUGCGUGAAAUCUCGGGGCUCAACCCCGAGCGGUCGUGAGAAACUGGCAGGCUAGAGUGCGGGAGAGGAGAGUGGAAUUCCUGGUGUAGCGGUGAAAUGCGCAGAUAUCAGGAAGAACACCCGUGGCGAAGGCGGCUCUCUGGAACGCAACUGACGCUGAGACGCGAAAGCGUGGGGAGCAAACAGG